rnacentral:lncRNA from 1 species
GGUCAGAUGUCAAAUGGCUCUAUACUGCUUGAUGACCAGUACAUCAGGCAUAAUGAGUAAAACCAGUACCAUUUCUUUGUCUGUAGGAUAUGGGGAUGGUUUGGACGAUUUCAGUUUGUCAGAUGCACUGGAUGAUCAUCCCACCAAGCAACCUACUCCCAAACUACCCAGAAAGCCAUCGGGCGGAAUAGAUGACUUUAGCUUAUGGGAUGUGAUCCACACCACCACAACCAAGAAGCCAAAAACCACCAAGGCCCCACCCAAAAAGAAUCCAGGUAAGUGCUAGUUCUUGAGUGGUACCUGGAGCAUCAAGAGCUA